rnacentral:rRNA from 1 species
GCGAGAAAGCCCGCAAGGGUGAGUAAAGCGGCGCACGGGUGAGUAACACGUGGGUAAUCUUCCUUGGAGCCCGGAAUAACUCCCCGAAAGGGGUGCUAAUGCCGGAUGAGACCACGGGAUCUCCGGAUCCUGAGGGAAAAGGCGGCCUCUGUACACAAGCUGUCACUCCAAGAUGAGCCCGCGGCCCAUCAGCUAGUUGGCGGGGUAAUGGCCCACCAAGGCAUCGACGGGUAGCUGGUCUGAGAGGACGAUCAGCCACACUGGAACUGAGACACGGUCCAGACUCCUACGGGAGGCAGCAGUGGGGAAUUUUGCGCAAUGGGGGAAACCCUGACGCAGCAACGCCGCGUGAGUGAUGAAGGCCUUCGGGUCGUAAAGCUCUGUCAGAGGGAAAGAAAUGUGGGUGGCUAAUAUCCAUUCCGCUUGACGGUACCCUCAAAGGAAGCACCGGCUAACUCCGUGCCAGCAGCCGCGGUAAUACGGAGGGUGCGAGCGUUGUUCGGAAUUAUUGGGCGUAAAGCGCGUGUAGGCGGUUUUAUAAGUCUGAUGUGAAAGCCCCGGGCUCAACCUGGGAAGUGCAUUGGAAACUGUAAGACUUGAGUACGGGAGAGGGCAGUGGAAUUCCUAGUGUAGGAGUGAAAUUCGUAGAUAUUAGGAGGAACACCGGUGGCGAAGGCGGCUGCCUGGACCGAUACUGACGCUGAGACGCGAAAGCGUGGGGAGCAAACAGGAUUAGAUACCCUGGUAGUCCACGCCGUAAACGAUGAGUACUAGGUGUUGCGGGUAUUGACCCCUGCAGCGCC